AAAGGUAAGCUACUAAGAGCGAAUGGUGGAUGCCUUGACUGGUAAAGGCGAUGAAGGACGUACUAGACUGCGAUAAGCUACGGGGAGCUGUCAAGAAGCUUUGAUCCGUAGAUUUCCGAAUGGGGCAACCCAAUGUAUAGAGAUAUACAUUACCUAUAUAGGAGCGAACGAGGGGAAUUGAAACAUCUUAGUACCCUCAGGAAAAGAAAUCAAUAGAGAUUGCGUCAGUAGCGGCGAGCGAAAGCGUAAGAGGGCAAACCCAGUGCUUGCACUGGGGGUUGUAGGACUGCAAUGUGCAAGAGGUGAGUUUAGCAGAACAUUCUGGAAAGUAUAGCCAUAGAGGGUGAUAGUCCCGUAUGCGAAAAACAAACCUUAGCUAGCAGUAUCCUGAGUAGGGCGGGACACGAGAAAUCCUGUCUGAAGCUGGGUCGACCACGAUCCAACCCUAAAUACUAAUACCAGAUCGAUAGUGCACAAGUACCGUGAGGGAAAGGUGAAAAGAACUGAGGUGAUCAGAGUGAAAUAGAACCUGAAACCAUUUGCUUACAAUCAUUCAGAGCCCUAUGUAGCAAUACAGGGUGAUGGACUGCCUUUUGCAUAAUGAGCCUGCGAGUUGUGGUG
rnacentral:rRNA from 1 species